UCGCGUGAAUCAUUAAAAAAAUGUCUACCUAUGCUGCCCCAUGUCACGUUGUUCAGCAACGACCACUCCCUGCUACGAUAUCUCAGAUUAAAGACUACACAUUUUACGUACCACUUCGAUUAUUCUGAUGAACACCUUGCGAUUCCACAUGAUGCGAUUAUUUAAAAAACGGUGAAACCAAACGAGCAACUAGAGAAAUGGAGAAGCGGCUGUUUGCGAAAGUGUUGUCUCUUUUCGGCGAAGCAUUACGUGAUUUCUCAGGCUAAUAACAAAACCUACUCAUUUUACUUUUGAAACGCCACUAAUCACUAAGUCACAGUAAACAGGUUGUUUUUUGCUAUGUUUUAACAAAUGUUCUUGGAGAUCUAGAGUGAGAAAAAAAAGCGAGAGAAACAAAAAGUUCAAGUCGCUUGGAACGGACUCGCUAUCGCUAAACGUUUUAGUGACCGUUCGAUAAUGGGAACCAGUGUAUUAUCACCUGCGAC